ACAGAGGGUGCAAGCGUUGUUCGGAUUUACUGGGCGUAAAGCGUGCGUAGGCGGUAUUGAGAGUCAUAGGUGAAAUCCCAAGGCUUAACCUUGGAACUGCCCGUGAGACCUCAGUACUAGAGUGUGAGAGGGGAUGGUGGAAUUCCUAGUGUAGCGGUGAAAUGCGUAGAGAUUAGGAGGAACACCGGUGGCGAAGGCGACCAUCUGGCUCACAACUGACGCUCAGGCACGAAAGCAUGGGUAGCAAACAG
rnacentral:rRNA from 1 species